GUUGGCGUGUCCGAGUGGUUAAGGAGUGAGACUUAAGAUCUUAUGGUGCAUACCGCGCGGGUUCGAAACCCGCCGCCAACA